rnacentral:rRNA from 1 species
UACAGAGGGGGCAAGCGUUGUUCGGAAUUACUGGGCUUAAAGGGCGCGUAGGCGGCCUGUUAAGUCGAACGUGAAAUCCCCGGGCUCAACCCGGGAACUGCGUCCGAUACUGGCAGGCUUGAAUUCGGGAGAGGGAUGCGGAAUUCCAGGUGUAGCGGUGAAAUGCGUAGAUAUCUGGAGGAACACCGGUGGCGAAGGCGGCAUCCUGGACCGAGAUUGACGCUGAUGCGCGAAAGCCAGGGGAGCAAACGGG